rnacentral:snRNA from 1 species
AGCUUUGUACAGUGGCAGUAUCAUAGCCAAUGAGGUUUAUCUGAGGUGCGAUUAUUGCUAAUUAAAAGAAUAAUAAU